GUCCUCGCUUUUCUGAACCGUAAGGUGGUUCAGGAACAAGGGCUGGGCAAGACCGGUGCCAGCCGCCGCGGUAAUACCGGCAGCCCGAGUGAUGGCCGCUAUUAUUGGGCCUAAAGCGUCCGUAGCCUGCCAGACAGGUCCAUCGGGAAAUCUGCUCGCUCAACGAGCAGGCGUCCGGUGGAAACCAGCUGGCUUGGGGCCGGAAGACCCAGGGGGUACGUCCGGGGUAGGAGUGAAAUCCCGUAAUCCUGGACGGACCACCAAUGGCGAAAGCACCCUGGGAGGACGGACCCGACGGUGAGGGACGAAAGCUAGGGUCACGAACCGGAUUAGAUACCCGGGUAGUCCUAGCUGUAAACGAUGCUCGCUAAGUGUGGCACACGCUACGAGCGUGUGCUUCGCUGCAGCGAAGGCGUAAGCGAGCCGCCUGGGAAGUACGUCCGCAAGGAUGAAACUUAAAGGAAUUGGCGGGGGAGCACUACAACCGGAGGAGCCUGCGGUUUAAUUGGACUCAACGCCGGACAUCUCACCAGCUCCGACAGU
rnacentral:rRNA from 1 species